UACGUAGGGGGGCAAGCGUUGUCCGGAAUCAUUGGGCGUAAAGCGCGUGUAGGCGGCCACGUUAGUCCGUUCUGAAAGCCCGGGGCUCAACCCCGGGAGGCGGAUGGAUACUGCGUGGCUCGAGUCCGGAAGAGGCGAGUGGAAUUCCUGGUGUAGCGGUGAAAUGCGCAGAUAUCAGGAGGAACACCAAUGGCGAAGGCAGCUCGCUGGGACGGUACUGACGCUGAGACGCGAAAGCGUGGGGAGCGAACAGG
rnacentral:rRNA from 1 species